GAAUUUGGUAAAUUUUGAACCUUUUCUUUCCCAGAAUAACUCAAAACACAUAAUAUGUUGUGUUCCACUCACAGUUGCAACAACAAAAUGAUCCCUUCUUUAACCUCAGAUUUCUCCAGCUUAAACGUUGGCUUCCCAACAUCAUCAGGAACCAAUGAGAUCAUCAAAGCAGUCUUCUUUAGCUUCGGCACCUUCACAUUCAAUAAAAAAGGUUCCAUAUCUCUCGGACAGAUAUAUUGAAGAAGAUCCCAAAACAUGGCUAUCGAAAUAAACGCGAGGAAAGUGGCAUUUGUGCCAUAUGCAUUCGCUAUAGUCGCAACGACGAUGGUGCUUCAUUGUUGCCAUCAAGAACCACAACGAGUUAAACAUCCCAAAACGCGGUUUGCGUCUAUGGGACGUGUCUACGGGCCUCUAUAUUUGUGUUAUAGCUUACUUCCAUGGAAAAUUCAGAGGUUGACAAGUAUGGAUCAGAAGCGUUUCUAGUCAAUUUGAUGGCUAUGAUCACAAUUCUCUUUGCUACUUUUGUGAUAUUCAUUGUUUCGACAAUUUGUUUAUUUAAACUUAACGCCGCAGUGAUUAAUUAGCUAAUUAAUAAUGGUCUUCAAUCUUUUCUUUUUUUUGU